rnacentral:lncRNA from 1 species
UCAAAUACAUCUUGUUAUAUUAAUUCUCUAUCUUUCUCCCCAUUAAAAUGGUUCAAAAGAUUAUCAUCAACCCACUAACUAACAAAUGUAUAUGCACACAUGUUUGUAUAGUAGGGUCCACUCAUCGUCGGUCUUAUUAUCCAACUACACUACAUGAAACAUAUCCUUCAUCUUUUCUUUUCAAAAGGUAUAGCCUGACUUACUCAAGGUCACCACCAUGUGAGAUGUGUCGACUUCCAUCCAUUCACCGCAAAUUAUUAUUAACCAUAAGAGAAUUAAUUAAAACUUUGAUACCAUGUUAUGGGACUAGAGCACGCGAUGAAACAGUCAAAACUCAUUAUAUUCUGCCUUCCUUGUUGAACUUGAACAAGAAAAACUGCAAAACAAAGCCAACACCAAUAAUUAUAUCAAUAAAUGAGAAGGAAAAAAAUUAUAAAUAGGACACCUUAAAUUGAACGUUGAAAACAUAAGCUAGCCAAAUAAAAUUCACAAAACAAAAGCUAGCCAAAACUUCCACUACAUAAAAUAUUAGGCAUACCAAAGUCUUCUAUUAGUACUAGGAAACAAGCACUAAGAAACUAGUUAUUAUACCAAAAAUGCAAUAAUUCUGGAUUCUUUAGGGAAUUUGUAAUCUCGUUGGGAAGUUGACUAGAGAUUUUAUUUGGCUGGGUACCAGUCAUCACGAGUUUCAUCUUGUUGAUUGAGAUAAGGUUACUAUACACCAAAACAUAAAAGGGUGUUCUAAUGUGAAGCGUGCUAGAGAGGCUAAUAUAUACUUCUAUGUUAGAUAAAAUAGUUUCGAGCAUGUGACAUGACCGUAAUAAGCUUUGGGUUCAAAUUAUGAGUCAUGAGACUUCUUCCUAUUUUUGGAGACAAAGUAAUAUUAUGGACUCAUCUUACAUUGGAAACUCUAUCA